CAGCCGCCGCGGUAAUUCAGAGGAUGCAAGCGUUAUCCGGAAUCACUGGGCAUAAAGCGUCUGUAGGUUGCCUACCAAGUCUGCUGUUAAAGAUCAGGGCCUAACCCUGGGAAAGCAGUGGAAACUAGUAGGCUUGAGUGUGGUAGAGGUAGAGGGAAUUCCUGGUGUAGCGGUGAAAUGCGUAGAUAUUAGGAAGAACACCAAUGGCGAAAGCACUCUACUGGGCCACAACUGACACUGAGAGACGACAGCUAGGGGAGCAAAUGGGAUUAGAUACCCCAGUAGUCCUAGCCGUAAACGAUGGAUACUAGGUGUUGCACGUAUUAACCCGUGCAGUAUCGUAGCUAAGGCGUUAAGUAUCCCGCCUGGGAAGUACGCUCGCAAGAGUGAAACUCAAAUGAAUUGACGG
rnacentral:rRNA from 1 species